rnacentral:rRNA from 1 species
GGGUUGUGAGGUUAAGCGACUAAGCGUACACGGUGGAUGCCCUGGCAGUCAGAGGCGAUGAAGGGCGUGCUAAUCUGCGAUAAGCGCCGGUAAGGUGAUAUGAACCGUUAUAACCGGCGAUACCCGAAUGGGGAAACCCAGUGUGAUUCGUCACACUAUCAUUAACUGAAUCCAUAGGUUAAUGAGGCGAACCGGGGGAACUGAAACAUCUAAGUACCCCGAGGAAAAGAAAUCAACCGAGAUUCCCCCAGUAGCGGCGAGCGAACGGGGAGGAGCCCAGAGCCUGAAUCAGCAUGUGUGUUAGUGGAAGCGUCUGGAAAGGCGCGCGAUACAGGGUGACAGCCCCGUACACAAAAGCGCAUGUGCUGUGAGCUCGAUGAGUAGGGCGGGACACGUGGUAUCCUGUCUGAAUAUGGGGGGACCAUCCUCCAAGGCUAAAUACUCCUGACUGACCGAUAGUGAACCAGUACCGUGAGGGAAAGGCGAAAAGAACCCCGGCGAGGGGAGUGAAAAAGAACCUGAAACCGUGUACGUACAAGCAGUGGGAGCACNNNNNNNNNNNNNNGACUGCGUACCUUUUGUAUAAUGGGUCAGCGACUUAUAUUCUGUAGCAAGGUUAACCGAAUAGGGGAGCCGGAGGGAAACCGAGUCUUAAUUGGGCGUUAAGUUGCAGGGUAUAGACCCGAAACCCGGUGAUCUAGCCAUGGGCAGGUUGAAGGUUGGGUAACACUAACUGGAGGACCGAACCGACUAAUGUUGAAAAAUUAGCGGAUGACCUGUGGCUGGGGGUGAAAGGCCAAUCAAACCGGGAGAUAGCUGGUUCUCCCCGAAAGCUAUUUAGGUAGCGCCUCGUGAAUUCAUCUCCGGGGGUAGAGCACUGUUUCGGCUAGGGGGCCAUCCCGGCUUACCAACCCGAUGCAAACUGCGAAUACCGGAGAAUGUUAUCACGGGAGACACACGGCGGGUGCUAACGUCCGUCGUGAAGAGGGAAACAACCCAGACCGCCAGCUAAGGUCCCAAAGUCAUGGUUAAGUGGGAAACGAUGUGGGAAGGCCCAGACAGCCAGGAUGUUGGCUUAGAAGCAGCCAUCAUUUAAAGAAAGCGUAAUAGCUCACUGGUCGAGUCGGCCUGCGCGGAAGAUGUAACGGGGCUAAACCAUGCACCGAAGCUGCGGCAGCGACACUGUGUGUUGUUGGGUAGGGGAGCGUUCUGUAAGCCUGUGAAGGUGUGUCGUGAGGCAUGCUGGAGGUAUCAGAAGUGCGAAUGCUGACAUAAGUAACGAUAAAGCGGGUGAAAAGCCCGCUCGCCGGAAGACCAAGGGUUCCUGUCCAACGUUAAUCGGGGCAGGGUGAGUCGACCCCUAAGGCGAGGCCGAAAGGCGUAGUCGAUGGGAAACGGGUUAAUAUUCCCGUACUUGGUGUUACUGCGAAGGGGGGACGGAGAAGGCUAUGUUGGCCGGGCGACGGUUGUCCCGGUUUAAGCGUGUAGGUGUGUGUUCCAGGUAAAUCCGGUUCACUUUAACACUGAGGCGUGACGACGAGGCACUACGGUGCUGAAGCAACAAAUGCCCUGCUUCCAGGAAAAGCCUCUAAGCAUCAGGUAACAUCAAAUCGUACCCCAAACCGACACAGGUGGUCAGGUAGAGAAUACCAAGGCGCUUGAGAGAACUCGGGUGAAGGAACUAGGCAAAAUGGUGCCGUAACUUCGGGAGAAGGCACGCUGACACGUAGGUGAAGUGAUUUACUCAUGGAGCUGAAGUCAGUCGAAGAUACCAGCUGGCUGCAACUGUUUAUUAAAAACACAGCACUGUGCAAACACGAAAGUGGACGUAUACGGUGUGACGCCUGCCCGGUGCCGGAAGGUUAAUUGAUGGGGUCAGCGCAAGCGAAGCUCCUGAUCGAAGCCCCGGUAAACGGCGGCCGUAACUAUAACGGUCCUAAGGUAGCGAAAUUCCUUGUCGGGUAAGUUCCGACCUGCACGAAUGGCGUAAUGAUGGCCAGGCUGUCUCCACCCGAGACUCAGUGAAAUUGAACUCGCUGUGAAGAUGCAGUGUACCCGCGGCAAGACGGAAAGACCCCGUGAACCUUUACUAUAGCUUGACACUGAACAUUGAGCCUUGAUGUGUAGGAUAGGUGGGAGGCUUUGAAGUGUGGACGCCAGUCUGCAUGGAGCCGACCUUGAAAUACCACCCUUUAAUGUUUGAUGUUCUAACGUGGACCCGUUACCCGGGUUGCGGACAGUGUCUGGUGGGUAGUUUGACUGGGGCGGUCUCCUCCUAAAGAGUAACGGAGGAGCACGAAGGUUGGCUAAUCCUGGUCGGACAUCAGGAGGUUAGUGCAAUGGCAUAAGCCAGCUUGACUGCGAGCGUGACGGCGCGAGCAGGUGCGAAAGCAGGUCAUAGUGAUCCGGUGGUUCUGAAUGGAAGGGCCAUCGCUCAACGGAUAAAAGGUACUCCGGGGAUAACAGGCUGAUACCGCCCAAGAGUUCAUAUCGACGGCGGUGUUUGGCACCUCGAUGUCGGCUCAUCACAUCCUGGGGCUGAAGUAGGUCCCAAGGGUAUGGCUGUUCGCCAUUUAAAGUGGUACGCGAGCUGGGUUUAGAACGUCGUGAGACAGUUCGGUCCCUAUCUGCCGUGGGCGCUGGAGAACUGAGGGGGGCUGCUCCUAGUACGAGAGGACCGGAGUGGACGCAUCACUGGUGUUCGGGUUGUCAUGCCAAUGGCACUGCCCGGUAGCUAAAUGCGGAAGAGAUAAGUGCUGAAAGCAUCUAAGCACGAAACUUGCCCCGAGAUGAGUUCUCCCUGAGACUUAGAGUCUCCUGAAGGAACGUUGAAGACGACGACGUUGAUAGGCCGGGUGUGUAAGCGCAGCGAUGCGUUGAGCUAACCGGUACUAAUGAACCGUGAGGCUUAACCUUACAACGCCGAAG